CACGUUUCCUGCCUUUCCUGUGUAAAAUUAGCAGCAGGCUGUUCUUAUCUGUGCAGACCAGGGUUCCUGUGGGAUGGAUAGGAAAGGGAGGAGGGCACAAAAAGGAGGAGAGUCAAGACACUUGGCAUGAACAAUGAAGGCUGCUUUGUGUCACCACUGAUGGCAUUUCGCCAGAUUACAUGAGACGAGCCACAUAAUUGAAUUUUGUCCAGAUGAAAUCAUUUAGCACAAUGUGAUGCUGAGCGGUUUGUGUUGGACACUUCACCAUGAUGGAGGAUACAGAGGCUUCAUUAGGCUCUUUAAAA